UUGUCGGUGUGUCAGAGAUACUCUUUUCGGAAUUUCUCAGUGAGUCGAAGCAGCAAUUGAGAGAAGUCUUUUAUAUGAGUUGCGUCCUUGACUGAUUGUGUCUCGGUAGAGGAUGCAGGGCUGUGUUGGAUGGGCAUCACCUACGGUAAAGCUUCCUCGUAUUCCAAAAGAUGUGACUGGAGGAGGCUAGAAGUAAGAAGGUAAAGUGGCAAUUAGAAAAGCAUACGAAAAAAAAUAAAGGAAGAAUGUAACAGCUGCCUUGGCCUUGCCCCGCGAACCCCCGUAGAUGGUACAAGAUAGCAGCGGCACGGCCAGUUUUCCGGACCUGUUUAUAUGACAAUCGGUGAUACUCCUCGGCCGCCGCCAGAUGCCUCCCGCGAUACCAGCUAACCCCAGGACCAUAAGUCGCCUAAUGAGCCGCCUGGACCCCGCUCAGACAGGACCGUGUGAGUGUGAGGGACCGCGUGGUAGGAGCAGAGGAGGCCGAAGAACCUGAUGACUCUUGGCGUGCUCAGCUCCGCCCGGCUGUGUCGAGGAAAGGCGACCAUCAGAUUGUGGGUAUUUAUUGAUGAACCAAGCAUGGGAGAACCUCGCGCGCUGGAGAUGCACCGGGCAGCGAACUACCACACCAGAUGAGGACCUGGAAGGGGGGAGGGUCGAACACCGUGCCAGAAAGGUGCCACACAAGAAAACCGUACCAAAAACAGGCAUAAUCAAACAGGAAUCGUAACCAGAUGAGAGGAAGCAAUGACAUAACCGUACCAGGAGAAAGGGAGGAGGAGGGCGGCGUCAUGCAGGGUGGGGGAAGCUGGUUAGGUCACUGUACCAGAAGUGAAGCACGUAAGACAGCAUUACAUGAUGCAGGAGAGCAUUGUGCCAGGGGUCAGUGAGUGAGGCAGGCAGGCAGGCGAGCAAGAAGGCAGGCAAGAAGGCAGGCAGGGGUAGGAGUAUAACGAGGCAGGGAAGCACGUCGCCUUUUACAUGAAAUCUCGAGCGGCAGAAGAGCAGAACACACUGGCGGGACACAAACUAGGAGGCCUUUGAGAAUCACACAAUAACAACACACAACAUACAGCAGGCGGCGGCCCACGUCCUGCUUUUAUAAUAACGCGUAUAAUUACAGUCGUUUUAGUUUAUUAUUCCGAACCAAUUACGUGUUUUUUCUCCCUUAAGCGGACAGCCUUCGGAGAUCCGUAUGAGAGAUAGUUAUUAAGGCCGGUGGAGGAGCCUUAAACCGGUCAUAGCGACGUGGUUUAGUGCUGGUUUAAGUGGACUCUUAUCUUGAUUUAAAGUGUAAUCAUGGGUGGAGAAGGAAUGGUAAAAAUUACACCAGAGCAGGAAGGAGUAAGAGAGAGAGAGAGAGAGAGAGAGAGAGAGAGAGAGAGAGAGAGAGAGAGAGAGAGAGAGAGAGAGAGAGAGAGAGAGAAACUGCAAAAUUUAGAUUGGGAGAAUGAGGAAAAAUUGUAUUGCGCUACUUUACUUGGUGUUGUGCCAAAUAUGUUGUGGGGACAGUAUUCUUGGCAAGGUGUGCUAAGAUGUGUUGUCAGAUGUUGCGUUGUGUUAGAUCACGUGUGUUCAAUGAAAGGAAUCUGUUUGUAUGUGUAAUGUUGUGUUGCGUUGUGCUCCGGACUAUAUAAUGGCAGGGAUGAUUAGUGUUGCCCUUGUACGUUGUGUUGCAGUGGUUAAGUUGCAUCAGUUAUGAGUUAUUUCUCUCCAUUACUGUACGUUA